AGAGUUUGAUCCUGGCUCAGGAUGAACGCUAGCGGCAGGCUUAACACAUGCAAGUCGAGGGGUAGAGGCCUUCGGGUCUUGAGACCGGCGCACGGGUGCGUAACGCGUAUGCAAUCUGCCUUCCACAGAGGGAUAGCCCAGAGAAAUUUGGAUUAAUACCUCAUAGCAUCAUGACCCGGCAUCGGGAUAUGAUUAAAGUCACAACGGUGGAAGAUGAGCAUGCGUCCCAUUAGCUAGUUGGUAAGGUAACGGCUUACCAAGGCUACGAUGGGUAGGGGUCCUGAGAGGGAGAUCCCCCACACUGGUACUGAGACACGGACCAGACUCCUACGGGAGGCAGCAGUGAGGAAUAUUGGUCAAUGGGCGCAAGCCUGAACCAGCCAUGCCGCGUGCAGGAUGACGGUCCUAUGGAUUGUAAACUGCUUUUGUACGGGAAGAAACCCUCCUACGUGUAGGAGCUUGACGGUACCGUAAGAAUAAGGAUCGGCUAACUCCGUGCCAGCAGCCGCGGUAAUACGGAGGAUCCAAGCGUUAUCCGGAAUCAUUGGGUUUAAAGGGUCUGUAGGCGGUCUUGUAAGUCAGUGGUGAAAGCCCAUCGCUCAACGGUGGAACGGCCAUUGAUACUGCUGGACUUGAAUUAUUGGGAAGCAACUAGAAUAUGUAGUGUAGCGGUGAAAUGCUUAGAGAUUACAUGGAAUACCAAUUGCGAAGGCAGGUUGCUACCAAUGGAUUGACGCUGAUGGACGAAAGCGUGGGUAGCGAACAGGAUUAGAUACCCUGGUAGUCCACGCCGUAAACGAUGGAUACUAGCUGUUGGGCGCAAGUUCAGUGGCUAAGCGAAAGUGAUAAGUAUCCCACCUGGGGAGUACGAACGCAAGUUUGAAACUCAAAUGAAUUGACGG
rnacentral:rRNA from 1 species